rfam:Psychrobacter sp. PRwf-1, complete genome.
GGCUGGGUGGCAGAGUGGUUAUGCAGCGGAUUGCAAAUCCGUGGACGCCGGUUCGAUUCCGACCUCAGCCU